rnacentral:SRP_RNA from 1 species
GCCAGGCAUAGUGGUGUAUGUGUGCCUGUAGUCCCAGCUAUUUGGGAGGCUGAGGUGGGAGGAUUGCUUGAGCCCAGGAGUUCUGAGGCAGCAGUGACUUAUGAUUGCACCACUGCACUCCAGCCUGGGUGACAGAGUAAAAUCCCGUCUCCA